rnacentral:rRNA from 1 species
AGUGAACGCUGGCGGUAGGCCUAACACAUGCAAGUCGAACGGCAGCACAGUAAGAGCUUGCUCUUACGGGUGGCGAGUGGCGGACGGGUGAGGAAUACAUCGGAAUCUACUUUUUCGUGGGGGAUAACGUAGGGAAACUUACGCUAAUACCGCAUACGACCUACGGGUGAAAGCAGGGGAUCUUCGGACCUUGCGCGAUUGAAUGAGCCGAUGUCGGAUUAGCUAGUUGGCGGGGUAAAGGCCCACCAAGGCGACGAUCCGUAGCUGGUCUGAGGGGAUGAUCAGCAACACUGGAACUGAGACACGGGCCAGAGUCCUACGGGAGGCAGCAGUGGGGAAUAUUGGACAAGGGGCGCAAGCCUGAGCCAGCCAUACCGCGGGGGUGAAGAAGGCCUUCGGGUUGUAAAGCCCUUUUGUUGGGAAAGAAAAGCAGCAGGUUAAUACCCCGCUGUUCGGACGGUACCCAAAGAAUAAGCACCGGCUAAUUUCGU